rnacentral:rRNA from 1 species
UACGGAGAUGCAAGCGUUAUCCGGAUUUAUUGGGUUUAAAGGGUGCGCGAGGUUGUUUGAUAAGUCAAGUUGGUGAAAGUCUGUCGCUUAAACGGUAGGAUUGCCAUUGAUACUGUUGGACUUGAAUAUGGAUGAGGUAGGCGGAAUGUGUAGUGUAGCGGUGAAAUGCAUAGAUAUUACACAGAACACCGAUUGCGAAGGCAGCUUACUAAUCCAUCAUUGACGCUGAGGCACGAAAGCGUGGGGAUCAAACCA